GUGGAACCGGAAGCUGCCACCCGCCGGCCGGCGUCCAGGCCUCGGGGCCCGGAUGGGCGCACUGCCUCCAGGACCCAGGACGGGGUCCAGACCCUGGGCACUGGGGUCCGAGCCCAGGCCCGCCCCGGGAGGCAGUGUUUACUCCAGGUCGCGAGCUCUAGGGACAAGCACGUCGCAGUUCUCCCGUCUUUUCGCCAAGAGGUGCUCGAAGGAGGAAAUGUGGACUUCUGCGCCCGCCCAGAGUGGGGCGCCCACGUGGGACCGGACCGCGGGGCGUUUUGGUCUCCUGCGUCAUUACGCCCCCACGCACCACCCUGAACCUCGGGGAGACUGCGGAAGCGGAUAAAGGUGGGGCACGAAGACCACGGCACCCCCCCCCCCUUCCCGCUUUUUCGAGAGCGGUGGCACUGUGCCUGGGGCCCGAGCCUUCUCAGUCUCCACGGGAGACCCAUCCACCGCGGGUUCGAGGCCCGCAGCCGUCGCAGGCUCACUUACAAAAGAGAGCUCCAAGGAGAAGCGUUCCUGUUGAAGGAGGUCUGAAAGCCACUGUUUGCUGAAACUGUCUUUAUGACACAGGAAACAAGAUAACGAAGGAGCUUGCUUAUCUCAGAGCCGAUGUUCUGCUCAAGAAACAUCACCAAAAGAAAAAGAAAAAAGGAAGAAAGAAAAUGAAGAGAGGAGGCCGAAACCCAGGACCAACCUUCUUUCACAGGGUUAGAGAAACAAUCCCCAAAUGAUCAAAACAACACAGAAUUCACCUUCUUUUCAAAAAGAAGACUCAUGCUCUGAGAGAAGACCCCCAGUGGAGACAGACUCACCUCGGGCUCUGGCUCCAAUUAUUGAACUUCCCACACCACCGGUGCUUGUGUGUUCUUGGCGACGGCCAAGUUGAUCCGGCUGGGCCACAGGAAGCUAUUGGGAGGUCUUGAGGAAGGGAGUGACAUCGCUUGAUUUACAUUUUUGAGAGCUCACUCUACUGCAGUGUGGAGAAGAUUGUUGGAAGGCAAGAGAAACCAGAAGAUCGACUGGGACACUGGAGAAACCCAAGCAAAAGGUGAAGAUGCUGGUAACUGCGGAGGCAGAAGGAAGUUACCAGAUUCAGUGUGGUUUGAAGCAGGAGGAACCCCAUUCUUCAACCGUAACAAUGAAACACACCUCAUUCCGCUCAUAGUUCCCCAAGGCUCUGGUCCUCUGGAACAUAAUUUGAGACACACAGCUCUAUGGAGCACAGACAUUGAUUCACCAGCAAACAUUUGUGUGGAGCCUCCCGGAGCCAGGCGCUGUGCUGGUGAUGGGAAUAUAAAGGUAAAGAAGACAGGCAAGGCUCUUGUUUUUCAUGGCGCUUCCUUUCUGGUGUGGGGAGACAGACAAUCAACCAGUUAGCAAGUCCACAGACAGACCCAAGGUAUCGUAUGGUCGUAAAUACUGCAAAGAAUAUAAAACAGGGUGAUGUGUUGGAAAACUUCACUGACCGGAUGUUAAAUGUCCUAUUCAGAAGCCGAUUCCGAAUUAGCUAUAAAUCGUCUAAAAACAAUGAAAUAUGACAUUCACCAAAAAGAAGUUCAUUUUCUACUACCUUUGCUUUUCCUGCCUCUGACUGUCAUAUUGGUUGGUUCUACUCCAUUAUUUACUUUUAAUAAGCUUGGGAGCUUGGGGGAUAUAAAUCUGGUAAUCGCUCAGGUAAUUCACACCUUAUCUUUAUGUUCAAAAAAGAAGAUACCUAUAACUUUUGCAAAAGAAAUUCAUCUAGAUUGGUGCUUGUUGCAAAUUGAACCCCGGGUUUUCAACGAAUGAAGAACAAAUCUGAAAAAACAGAGAAGCAAAACUAUGGAUAUGUCAGACAGCUUUGCCUAACGCCUGUCAUUGUCUUCUCGAGCCCAGUCAAGAUCGGGAGCCAUGUGGGUUAAUAUUUCCACCGACUUCUCCUCUGUCGUAUGUUUGCCAAGUAUCACCUCUACUCGGGACACAACACUGAUUUGCAGAGCGUGCAGUUGUGUGAACCCAGGAGGAAGGCAGUGUGAUUCACACAACUUCCCUUCUCUCGACAGGAAAUACAGCAAAGCAUGUCCUGUGUUCCCAUAAAGUUCACCGUCCUAUACGUCCUAUACCUAAAUCGAUUACUGACUAGAAGAAAAGUCAAUGUAUGACAAGAGAUAUUUUCUUUUCACUGAGUAAAAGUUCCAAUGAGUGAAGUGAGUAAUGUUGUUAUAAUCGUCCACAUAAAAGGAGAUAAAGCAGUUGGAGAGAGAGAAAUGCAAACUGUUCCAAGGUCUGAUCUUGACAGUAAAGACUUAAUCAUUUUCAAGCCUUCUUGAUUUUCCUGCCUCUUGUCUACACACUUCUGCCAAUGUUUCAUCUUUAAGAUCUAUUCACAGCCUUCAAAACAGCCUGGGGCAAAUAGCAAGGACGGCCAGAGAAUGUGGUUUUCAGUUACUCUACUAUUUGGGUGACUCCUUAGCUGGGAUAAUGCGAUUUUGAAUGGAUUUUAAAUGGUAAUGGUGAUAGGGGAUGGUCAAUAUUUAUUUAUAAGCUUUCUUAGUUGGGAUGCUAUUUCAAUUUUUACAUAUCUCUUAAAUUUUAGAGAAAUACAUUUCCCAACUGAGUUUUUUAGGUUUAGAAAAUUGACCAUUAUACAAACAUCCUUCACUGAAAUUCAUUGCCAGCAUUUAUAACUAAUACUAAUGACGAAACUGAUAUUAACUGUGCUGAGAGCUUACCAUAUAUUACCUCAUCUAAUUCUCAUGACAAGUGAUGGAGGAAACUAAGGGUAAGGGAAGUAGAGUAGCCAGCGACUCUUUUUUUUGUAUUAUUUUUUUAAUGUUUAUUUAUUUUUGAGAGAGGGAGAGACAGAGUGUGAGCAGGCAAGGGGCAGAGAGAGAGGGAGACACAGAAUCGGAAGCAGGCUCCAGGCUCCAAGCUGUCAGCACAGAGCCCGAUGCGGGGCUCGAACUCACGAACCAUGAGAUCAUGACCUGAGCCGAAGUCGGAAGCUCAACUGACUGAGCCACCCGGGCACCCCAAGUAACCAGCGACUCUUGUUGUAUGUCCUGUGUUGGCAAUGAGGUCAGGUUUCAGGGGGUGCAUUGGAGAGCGUUUAAUUUAUCAUAAUCUUGAUCAGAACUGCUUCCUCUAAGCCACCCAGAAUAAACAUUUUAUCUGAGUAAGGGCAGUGUGGUUGCUAAGGAAAGGCAGAUUGCAAUCCUGAAGGCUGUCCCAGGAAGAUGUUCUGGAGCUGUCGCUCUAUAUCCACGUGACUGUUACCAUCAAAUUCCCGUUUCUUCAAUGCUCAUUGUGUUUGGAACACUAGAUUCAGACACUUGCCCAGUGAAGGGGACGCAGAAGACAUGGGGGGCAUCCAAAGCAGCAUGGCAGCAUGGAAUGGUAGGACACGACCAACCCUCGUGGACAGAUACACCUAUCUUCUAGGCUCGGGUCUUACAAAUUAUUUCUUUGACCUUAAACAAAUUCUCUAGUUUCUUUGGGCCUAAGUUUAUUGGAUCUAAAACAAAAGGUUUGAUGUAGUGAUUGCUUAAGAUCCUUGUAGCUGUAAAUUAUGAUGACUCCAUAGGUCUUAUCUUCCCAGAACUUACAAUCCAGUGUGACAAUCAAAUAAACUGAAGUAUUUGGAAAUGUUUCUAAACUUUA